GACGAACGCUGGCGGCGUGCUUAACACAUGCAAGUCGAACGGAAAGGCCCUGCUUUUGUGGGGUGCUCGAGUGGCGAACGGGUGAGUAACACGUGAGUAACCUGCCCUUGACUUUGGGAUAACUUCAGGAAACUGGGGCUAAUACCGGAUAGGAGCUCCUGCUGCAUGGGGGGGGUUGGAAAGUUUCGGCGGUGGGGGAUGGACUCGCGGCUUAUCAGCUGGUUGGUGGGGUAGUGGCUUACCAAGGCUUUGACGGGUAGCCGGCCUGAGAGGGUGACCGGCCACAUUGGGCCUGAGGUACGGCCCAGACUCCUACGGGAGGCAGCAGUGGGGAAUAUUGCACAAUGGGCGGAAGCCUGAUGCAGCAACGCCGCGUGCGGGAUGACGGCCUUCGGGUUGUAAACCGCUUUCGCCUGUGACGAAGCGUGAGUGACGGUAAUGGGUAAAGAAGCACCGGCUAACUACGUG
rnacentral:rRNA from 1 species